rnacentral:rRNA from 1 species
UACGUAGGGGGCAAGCGUUAUCCGGAUUUACUGGGUGUAAAGGGAGCGUAGACGGCAUGGCAAGCCAGAUGUGAAAUACCGGGGCUCAACCCCGGGACUGCAUUUGGAACUGUUAAGCUGGAGUGUCGGAGAGGCAGGCGGAAUCCCUAGUGUAGCGGUGAAAUGCGUAGAUAUUAGGAGGAACACCAGUGGCGAAGGCGGCCUGCUGGACGAUAACUGACGUUGAGGCUCGAAAGCGUGGGGAGCAAACAGG